CGUAAUUCCAACAAUACUUGGAAUUUAUUAUGCAACUUACCUUUUGUCACCCGAUAUGGUUAUGUUUCUAACCUCUCUACCAUCCAGUAUUUUGGAACGCACCGCAACUACACCUAUAUGCUUGUUAGCGAUAAAACAUGCUACGAAGAACAUUUGUUUCUGUUCAGAAGGGAGUCUACACCGUGUAGGUAGGUGGUUGGCACGAGAAAACCUCUACUCCAGCCAUCUGGAACGACUUAAAACACCAAAAAGCACGAGAGAAAAGAACGAACUAACCAUCCAUGGUCCUUCUCGAUGUCCUUUUCUUUGGCCUCGUGCCCUUUCCCUAUCUGCGUUCGGAGAUGUACGUGCACAGAAAGCGACGAGUCGGAUCUAAAAGAACGGUCAAUAUUUCCAUUGACAAUGUGGCUAGAUUAACUUGUAAAUGGGUGUAGAUUAACGUCUGGAUUAUGGAUUUGAUGUGAAACAGUGCCACCAGUCGCUGAAUGAGAGAAAAGGACAAUUUGAAAGUUGUCAUUUAGCAUAACCUACAUCAAUCUUUGGAUUAGACGGAUUUAGUCGAAUAACGCCACCAGUCGACUUGACGAAUAAUCCUUUCUUAUCCACAACUGCCAGCCUAAUUUAGGAAUUAUUACUCAAAUUUUUACUCAUGCUAUUUUCUAACGGGAUUUUUGUUAAAGAUAAGUAAAAUGAAUGAGGUAAUUCACGUAUAGUUUAUUUACAUAUAUAUAAUAAAUACAAAUAUGAAAUAGGUUACAAACACAAUUAUAUGAAGUAUUUCCUUAAAGGAACCAAGAGCCAAAACUGGAGAUGAAAAUAAGUAUAGAUGCAAAAUGAAUGGAAAUAGAUAGAUUAGUAGGCCUCAUUGAUUCCGACAACGAGCCCCAAUUUCCAAGACAGAUUCAUACUAUUCAUACAGAAAAGAUUCAUACUAGCAUAUUUGGUGUCCUUCAAGGAAGAGGAAGGAACAGAGGAAGUCUAGAAGAUUCGUGAAGAAGACGGAAGGAGAGAGAGGCCGGAAAGAAGGUAGAGAAGGAAGAGAAGAACAUCAAAGAGAAGCGACAACGGAUACGCGUAAACCUUGAGCUGCGAAUGCCGAAAAACCGACAGAGGUUCGAAGUAACUGACGCGUUCUCGGGAAAACUCAUCAAAGAGCCGUGGAUGGAUAAAUGUAACCGCCCGUUUAGCGUGAAACCCCUCGCUAAUUUUAAUUGCUGCCUGAUUUACGUCUCGAUACGUUCCUUUUCGCUCUUCUAUUUUUUUCUUCUCUCUCCACUUCGUGCUACGAAGAUCCCCUACUCCCCAGUGCUUUUCGCACAUAUGGGUAGACGUGGACGUCGCAGCAAGGAACUCGUUCUGUGGCCGCGAACGCGACGGCUCCCGUGAAAAAAUGAUAAAUGCCUCGAAGACAAGCGGAUACGGAUUACUGUGAUUUGUCGGUACUACAGGGCGACGAUUUGUCACGGAAUUUAAUUACAGAUGCCGCGAGGAGUGGUCUAUGUGUUUACCUGACAUACGACCUCAUGUAACUGUGGUUAUAUGGUACAAGACAUAAAUCACAUGCUAUAGAAUUGUUCUCUAGUUCAAGUGUUUGUAGAUGUUAAACGAUACAAAAUUGAGAGGAAACAAGACAUAGAUACAUCGAAUUUUUAUGAAUUUUUCAGAAAGCUCAAAAACUACGGUCACUGAAUUAUUAAGAAAUGCAACUGUCAUGUGCUCUUAUUGAAUGAAAAAGACACAUAGACUUGAGAUGAAGCUCUGUACAUAAUUGGUGAACAAAAUUUCUUUUGUCUUGAUAUUUUUCGCUAUGAAUUCUUACUUCUCAUAAAUUCUAUUUCCUGUAAGUCUUCCUUUGUAACUUACAUCUUACAUAAUAAAUUUAA